UACAUGUGGGGCAAGCGUUGUUCGGAAUUACUGGGCAUAAAGGGUGCGUAGGCGGCUUGUUAAGUCAGGGGUGAAAGUUUUCGGCCCAACCGGAAAAUGGCCUUUGAUACUGGCGAGCUCGAGUGCGUGAGGGGUAACCGGAACGAGCAGUGUAGCGGUGAAAUGCGUAGAUAUUGCUCGGAAGGCCAACGGCGAAGGCAGGUUACUGGUGCGCAACUGACACUGAGGCACGAAAGCGUGGGGAGCAAACAGG
rnacentral:rRNA from 1 species